CUCUGUCUCUCUCUAUCUCACACACACACACACACACACAUUCUCUCUCUCUCUCUCUCUCUCUCUCACACACACACACACACACACACACACACUCUCUCUCUCUCACACACACACUGUCUCUCUCUCUCUCUCUCUCUCUCUCACACACACUCGCUCUGUCUCUCUCUCUCUCUCUCUCUCUCUCACACACACACACACACACACAAUUAUAUACUGUGCUUUAGUGUUUACUUCAAGAUAAUAUGCUCUUUCUUCUUGUUAUUUGGGCCUGUUUUCAAUCACAGAAGCAGAGUCUAUACCGCCCUCUGCUGGCUGUUCUGCCUCUUCACACCUGCUGUCAGGAAUCAGGACACUGCUGCACUGAUCUAUACCAAUCUACAGCAAGCUCACUCCGACCAGUAAACCUGCCACCUCUACCACAUCUCUACAACCAUACAUUUACAGCUCUCACUGGUGUCAGGUACAUGAGAGUGUUCGUGUCAAAGAUUUGUUGUGUUUUGACAGCAUGGGAAUGAAUAAGCCCCGCCCCCUGGACGAGCUGACGCCACAGCCCUCGACUCUCAUCUAAGGCCAACCCCUAACAUUUAAUAAUAAAUUAUAUUGAUUGCAUGGUUUAUCUUCAUGAGAGCCAACAGACCAAAUUGCCUUGCAUUUCCCUCCUCAAACUACUUCCUAUUUGAAGAUUUAUGAGCUUGUAGUAAAUGCAAAUGGUUCAGAGAAUUCAGAGAAUUUAAAAUGCCCACGUCGUAGGUUAAAUUCUUCAAAUUUAUUUCAGUAUUUCAUUUCACACUGUUACCAUUUUGAUUAUGUGACAUUCGUUAGGCAUUUUUAUUUUUAUUUUAAGGCAUACACUGCUGUGCAAAGGUCUUAUGCUUACAAACGCAAUAAAAUGAAACAUUUCUAAAUAUAAAAUUCUGAUAUAAAGAGCAGUGAACUGUACACAAACUAUAUUUUAAAGCCUUUUACACUUUUUCAAUCCUCCAUCAUAAAAUUGUCACCCAUAUUUUUAAGGAAAGGACUUUUUAUCCAGAGAACCUGCUAUAUUUCUUUUGCAGAUCCCAGAACAGCCUCUAUGCUGUGCUCUAUUGUGUUUAAUUCUUUGUAAUAUUAUUUUUUAAUGGGAGUGAAUGUUUUUUCUGUCAAAUCAAUGUUUGGAAAUCUAAAACCUGUUCUCUUCUACUAACACGGAGAAGAAAUAAAAUAAAUAUAUCUAUGGCAAAUUAAAUGAUUGCUUUAACAAACAUUCAAAUCAGAUACUUUCAAAUUUAUAUUUAAAUUUUAGAUUUAUAUUUGCGAAUAAACACAUUACAAUAGUUUGCUGUUAUCAAUCAGGCCUGUGGUCCUCUAAAAAUAUGAUUUUACACAAUUAUUUUUUCAAAAUAAUACAGUUCCAUGUGCCAUUACAGUAAGACAACAUUACAGCACAAAUGCUGUAAAUAGUAAUUUCAGUAACUGGUAUCUGCUACCAGUAAUUUACUGUUAAUUUAGAAAGUAAAUUUUUUUUUUUUACAGUGUGUACAUGUGGCAGAAAACGUGUCAUUGUUUUGUUGCAUCAAGAACCUUUUCCUGUACUGAACUUUUGGAUCAGACCUCAUUAAUGUAACACUACAGUGUCUGUCCUGCAUCCUGCAUUAAUCAUUGACAGUUUGCCAGCUCUACCUAUGACUUUAACAAGACCCCAACCAAUCUCUUUCAACAUCUCUAUACCUUUUACAGCUACAAUAAACUUAGUGUAACAUUAUAGAAGUUCUGUACUCUAAUUGUAUGUUGUACCAUCACCAGCGACAUCUGCUCCUGGAUCCGUUAAUGUAAGGGGAAGAAAGUCAUAAACUGUAUCUUGUGCUUUUUUUUUCUUUGCUGAGAGUCAUAACUAGACACACACACUCAAAUUAACAGGUACAGAAGUCUGUGCUAAGAGUAGUAAAGUAGUGCUAAGUACUCACUUUUCUCAUCACAAGCUAUAAACAGACAUGGAAAGUAAGAAUUUACGAUGAUUUUGUACCUGUACUUAAGACUGGUUUUUAAGUAUCAGUACUUUACGUGAGUUCUUCUUUCACCUCAUACUUUGCAUUUUCACUUACAUUCACAAUCUCUACUUUCUGCUCACUGCAAGUUUCUAAUGUUUGUAUGAGUCAUGAGGUGACUUUUUAGCAUCAGACAGAUCUGACUGAAAUUAGUACAAGUUAGUACAGCAAAAAAGACAGUCAAGUAUUUUUUUUUUUAAACUAGUGCUCAUUUAAAAGCUUGGUGAGGAGAAUUUCUGUGUCUAAAUUUCAUAUUCUGCACAUACACUGUUAAGACACAUUCACAUUCACCAGCUUGAAUGUGAAAUAUCUGACACACUCUAUUGGUCUUUGACCUUCCUAAUCAGACAGCAGCUCCCUGUGCACUGACUAACCAGAAAUGUCUAUAAAUUGUUAAUUAUUGGGCCAACUUGACCUGGAUUAUAGUAUCAUUUUAAGCCAGUCCUGCUCUGUAUUAUGUUACUCCUCCUACACCAGAGCAAUUUCUAAAGAUUUCAUUUUUUUUUAUUAAUGAACAAACCUUCUGAACUUUUUAAUCCAUUUAUAUUCCAUCGCUUGUCUGUUUUUUCCUCUCUUUCGAAGUUAAUAAGACAAAAAAUGCAGCUUGUCAUGUUACAGAGAAACAGGAAUGUGUAAUUUCUCUGUCCUGAAGACUUGCUCAUUACAUAUUGACAGCUUUACCUCUUCAGCUUUACUGAUACAAAAUACUGACACUGGAGACUCCUUCCAUACACGUUAAACCAACAUCUCCUCACAGAAAACUUCACCAUAUCAAUAGUUAUACAUGUUUGUUUUUGUUAAAUGUUCAUUAUUAUGCUUAGAUUAUGUGGAGCAUCUGCCAUACAAGUCCCCGUGCAAGCUGUUAUUAUAGAAAUGAUAACAUAUUAACCACGCGUAUUAAUAUAAACCUGUGAUUUGCAGCUCCACUACUGUUAGAGCUAUAUUCUCAAAAGACAUAUCAAAAGACAUCUUUCAUGUCCCAUGAGCAAAUACAUCUGGCCAUGUCAGUGAAAGCAGAGUGAUUUACCAUGACUAAUAGCAUGACCCAUUAAUAGCAGACGAGCUAAUGGAUACAAUGUUAGACUGUAAAUGAGGAACUACAUUACAGAUAGAAAAUGUGAGACGCUGUAAUCAUUAACUGAUGUGUGUAAGAAUGUGUUUGACAGUGACAAGAGAUGAGCCCCAGAGUGGAGGUACAGCUGCAAACAAAA